ACUCAAAUGAAUAGACGGGGGCCCGCACAAGCGGUGGAGUAUGUGGAUUAAUUCGAAGCUACGCGAAGAACCUUACCAAGGUUUGACAUCCCUUUGACCGGGUUAGAGAUAGCCCUUUCCUUCGGGACAAAGGAGACAGGUGGUGCAUGGUUGUCGUCAGCUCGUGUCGUGAGAUGUUGGGUUAAGUCCCGCAACGAGCGCAACCCUUAUUUUUAGUAGCCAUCGGGUAAUGCCGGGCACACUAGAGAGACUGCCGUGGAUAACACGGAGGAAGGUGGGGAUGAGGUCAAAUCAUCAUGCCCCUUAUAUCUUGGGCUUCACACGUACUACAAUGGCUCAUACAAAGUGAUGCAAAGCUGCAAGGCGGAGCAAAACACAAAAAGGAGCCUCAGUUCGGAUUGCAGGCUGCAACUCGCCUGCAUGAAGUCGGAAUCGCUAGUAAUCGCGAAUCAGCAUGUCGCGGUGAAUACGUUCCCGGGCCUUGUACACACCGCCCGU
rnacentral:rRNA from 1 species